CGCUGCCGCCAGGACCAAGGCCCCCCGGGAAACGUCACAUGAGGCGGCGCGGCCACCAAUCGCCGCGCCGGCAAGAGCCGACGCAGGCGCCGUGGCGGGCGAGGGCCGAACCACAUGGAAUGUGGACCAAAGAGAGUCCACUGGAGGCGCAGGCCGCAGUGGGCAAGAGAUAACCGCGCUGCCGCGGGCGGGAGGAAUAGAGUGACCAUUGUGAUGUCAUUCUCAGGAGGAGCGGAGUCCUCCAGGGUCGGGACUCGGCUGCGCUGUUAUUGGGUGCAGUGCGGUAUUGAGGCUUUACCUGCCAGCCUUUUACCAAGGUGAGAGUUAUUUGGAUUUGAAUCACGAACCCGGAUUGCAACGGAGAUCUGUUGGUUUCGCAUUCAUCUUUUGAUUGCAGCAAUGUCCUGCCCUGGUCCGUAUGUUGUACUUCAUAUCCCCGAGGCGCUUGUUACUUUGUUUCUCCGGGGGUGUUGCCAAUUGUUACAAUGUGACCCCCUGUUCAGUCGUAACUGGAUCACCGUGUAGCCGUAUGCAGCGUCCAAAUCUCGCACUAAGCGUACCAGAGAAAUUCAAUACUGCCUGACCUGCUGACUAUUUUCAGCACUUUAUUUUAAUUUUAUACUUCCAGUACGUGCAGUGCUUCAGUUUUCUUUUAAAAGGAUUGGAAUGGAGGGUGAGGGAGCGCUUAGACCUCUGAUGUCCAUGGGCAGUAGCGACCUCUGAAGCUGGAAGUUAAUGUAUCAGUAAGCCAAUCGGCAGUCAUGGAACCUUGGAGCAGUUGUGUGGCCGCACAGUGUCAAGGGAAUAGCACUGAGGGGUACUGUGCAUGAAAAUACUUGGAAAGUGGGGAUUACCCCUGCUGUCUGACCUUGUUACAGCAUUGGUUCAAACAUGAACAAAACAGCUGAAUUCGAGAGGGGAACUGAGAGCCAAGUUUGCGUGGUGUCACAACCAUUUGGAUGGGCAUGUCUUAAAGUAGAAACAAAAGCAGAAAUUGGUGGAAAACUUCAGCAGGUAUGGUAGCAUCUGGGACAAGAAAGCAGAGUUAACAUUUUGGGCCCAGUAACCCUUCGGAGAUAACUGUGACCCCAGGUGAAUUCAAAACACUAAGGAUGAAAUUUGUGUUGGAAUCCAUACGGGAAUCCUUAAUGUGGAAGCAGGCCAUUUGGCCCAACAAGUCUGCACCGACCCUCCGAAGUAUAUCCCAUCCAUACCAUUUCCCCUGACUAAUGCACCUAGCCUACACAUCCCUGAACACUAUGGGCAAUUUAGCCUGGCCAAUUCACCUAACCUGCACAUCUUUGGACUGUGGAAGGAAACCGGAGCACCCGGAGGAAACCCACGCAGAUACGGUGAGAAUGUGCAAAUUCCAAACAGACAGUUGUCCAAGGCUGGAAUCAAACCUGGGUUUCUGGCAUGUGAGGCAGCAAUGCUAACCACUGAGCCACCGUGCCGCACUUUAUUGUCGCUCCUGAAAUUUGACAAGAUGUUUGCCAAAAUUCGUGGAUUCCAAAUCAAGUUUCAUCCUUCAUGUUUUGACUCCACCCGGGAUCACAGGUAUCUCCGAAGGAUUACUGGACCCAGAACAUUAAUUCUGCUUUCUCUCGAGAUCCUGCCAGACCUGCUGAGUUUUUCCAAUAAAUUUUGUUUUUGUUGGCCUUCCUAGUGAGAAGGUUUGAGCACAGGAGUAGGAAUGUCUUCCUGCAAUAGUCUAGGGCCUUGUUGAGAGCGCAUCUGGAGGCUGUGAGCAGUUUUAAUCUCCUCAUCUGAGGAAGUGUGUUCUAGCUAGAGAGGGAUUAUGACAAAUGUUUACCAGACUGAUUCCUGGGAUGGCAGGACCGAUGUAUGAAGAGAGCCUGGAACAAUCAGGCGUAUAUUCAUUGGAGUUAAGAAGAAUGAGGAGGUGAAGAUGAGAUGUCCUAGAAACCUUUAAAGUUCUAAUAGACGUGAAGAUAUCAUGACUCUAAGAGGUGUAUUUUGUCCUGAUUUUUUUUUAAUGGAGAGGUUGAGACAGAGGUGAGGAGCAGUCAAGGCAAUAAAUAGCUUGUGAGGUGUUGGAUUUUAUUUUAAGUUUGAACAAUAGUAGCAGCCUUAAUGGGUGGGGUCAAGCUCCUGCAGAACCAAGACUUUUAGUUGAGCUUUUAGUAGCUGUUGGGGUAGUGAAAGCUGCUACAUCUCUCUCUCUCUCUGCUACAACUAAAAGCUUGGGUUCUCUUCCUGCUGCUAGAAAUGUAAGUAAGACAAUUUAUUUUAUUGAAUUUGUCUAUGCCACGUGUGUGUUUAUGGGAUGUUACUAUAUUGGAACAGAUAAUGAGUAGUUUAUAGUAUUUUGAUAGUUCCAGUUAAGCCAAUCCUUUUAUUUUGUCUGUAUUUUAACUUUAGUAUUUGAAUAAAGUGUGUUUUGCUUCAA